rnacentral:rRNA from 1 species
UAGGGAAUCUUCCGCAAUGGACGAAAGUCUGACGGAGCAACGCCGCGUGAGUGAAGAAGGAUUUCGGUUCGUAAAACUCUGUUGUUAGGGAAGAAAAAAUGUAUAGUAACUAUAUACAAAAGAGACGGUACCUAACCAGAAAGCCACGGCUAACUACGUGCCAGCAGCCGCGGUAAUACGUAGGUGGCAAGCGUUGUCCGGAAUUAUUGGGCGUAAAGCGCGCGCAGGUGGUUUAGAAAGUCUGAUGUGAAAGCCCACGGCUCAACCGUGGAGGGUCAUUGGAAACUAAUAAACUUGAGUGCAGGAGAGAAAAGUGGAAUUCCUAGUGUAGCGGUGAAAUGCGUAGAGAUUAGGAGGAACACGGGUGGCGAAAGCGGCUUUUUGGCCUGCAACUGACACUGAGGCGCGAAAGCGUGGGGAGCAAACAGG